GACGAACGCUGGCGGCGUGCUUAACACAUGCCAGUCGAACGAAGUGGCGGACGGGUGAGUAACGCGUAAUCAACCUGCCCUUCAGAGGGGGACAACAGUUGGAAACGACUGCUCAUACCGCAUACUGAAGUAGGGGAUUGCGUCUGCUUAGCUAGUUGGAGGGGUCACGGCCCACCAAGGCGAUGAUCAGUAGCCGGUCUGAGCGGAGGAACGGGCAAAUCUGGACUUGAAAAAGGCCCAGAACCCUACCGGAGGCAGCAGUGGGGGAUCUUUCGCAAUUGAGGAAAGUCUGACGGAGCAAAGCCGCGGUAGUGAUGACGGCCUUCGGGUUGGAAAGCUCUGUUAAUCGGGACGCGGUACCGGAAUAGAAAGCAACGGCUAACUACGUGCCAGCAGCCGCGGUAAUUC
rnacentral:rRNA from 1 species